AUUGAACGCUGGCGGCAGGCUUAACACAUGCAAGUCGAGCGGGGGAGGUUGCUUCGGUAACUGACCUAGCGGCGGACGGGUGAGUAAUGCUUAGGAAUCUGCCUAUUAGUGGGGGACAACAUUCCGAAAGGGAUGCUAAUACCGCAUACGCCCUACGGGGGAAAGCAGGGGAUCUUCGGACCUUGCGCUAAUAGAUGAGCCUAAGUCGGAUUAGCUAGUUGGUGGGGUAAAGGCCUACCAAGGCGACGAUCUGUAGCGGGUCUGAGAGGAUGAUCCGCCACACUGGGACUGAGACACGGCCCAGACUCCUACGGGAGGCAGCAGUGGGGAAUAUUGGACAAUGGGCGGAAGCCUGAUCCAGCCAUGCCGCGUGUGUGAAGAAGGCCUUUUGGUUGUAAAGCACUUUAAGCGAGGAGGAGGCUCUUAAGGUUAGUACCCUUGAUGAGUGGACGUUACUCGCAGAAUAAGCACCGGCUAACUCUGUGCCAGCCGCCGCCGUAA
rnacentral:rRNA from 1 species